AAUAGCAAACAGGAAGACUUUUAAAGAGAUUUUUACCUCAAGUCUGAAGUGGUUCAAUGCAAAUAACGAGCUUAAUUCAUUCAAUGCUGGUAUUCAUAAAGUGCCAUGAUUAAAUGAAGAUUUAAUGGAAAGACAUUAUCUGGUGUUUAGGUAAUGUUUGAUGUUUCCAAUCCUGGACAUAUUGGGAAAACGAUGAAACAGAAGGAUGGACAUUAACAAACAGAACUUAGUUUUUAAAAGAGAGAGACACAGUUACAAAAUAUAACUCGGGAAUUAAUUUGCUGUAAUAGAAUAUGGACUACAAACCACUGAUGGACUCUGGAAAAUGCUGUGCAAGGAAAAAGACUCAAAAACAACAAAUUAACUCAGGAAUAUGUUAUGCAAAACAAGAGACUUGAAAAACAAAAAAAAAAGACUGGAAUUAUUAUUAUAAUAAUGAUGUGCACAAUAAGAAACUUUAAUUAAACAACAAAACAAAGGAAUAUUUUAUA